GAUGAACGCUGGCGGCGUGCCUAAUACAUGCAAGUCGAGCGAACAGACGAGGAGCUUGCUCCUCUGACGUUAGCGGCGGACGGGUGAGUAACACGUGGAUAACCUACCUAUAAGACUGGGAUAACUUCGGGAAACCGGAGCUAAUACCGGAUAAUAUAUUGAACCGCAUGGUUCAAUAGUGAAAGACGGUUUUGCUGUCACUUAUAGAUGGAUCCGCGCCGCAUUAGCUAGUUGGUAAGGUAACGGCUUACCAAGGCAACGAUGCGUAGCCGACCUGAGAGGGGGAUCGGCCACACUGGAACGGAGACACGGUCCAGCCUCCUACGGAAGGCAGCAGUAGGGAAUCUUCCGCAAUGGGCGAAAGCUUGACGGAGCAACGCCGCGUGGGUGAUGAAGGUCUUCGGAUCUUAAAACUCUGUUAUUAGGGAAGAACAAAUGUGUAAGUAACUAUGCACGUCUUGACGGUACCUAAUCAGAAAGCCACGGCUAACUACGUG
rnacentral:rRNA from 1 species